rnacentral:rRNA from 1 species
CCUACGGGAGGCAGCAGUGAGGAAUAUUGGUCAAUGGGCGGGAGCCUGAACCAGCCAAGUCGCGUGAGGGUCGACGGUCCUAUGGAUUGUAAACCUCUUUUGUCGGGGAACAAAGGCGCCCACGGGUGGGCGGAUGAGUGUACCCGAAGAAAAAGCAUCGGCUAACUCGGUGCCAGCAGCCGCGGUAAUACGGGGGAUGCGAGCGUUAUCCGGAUUUAUUGGGUUUAAAGGGUGCGUAGGCGGACAGUCAAGUCAGCGGUAACAAUGCGGGGCUCAACGCCGUACAGCCGUUGAAACUGGCAGUCUUGAGUACAGUAGAGGUGGGCGGAAUUCGUGGUGUAGCGGUGAAAUGCUUAGAUAUCACGAAGAACUCCGAUUGCGAAGGCAGCUCACUGGACUGCAACUGACACUGAGGCUCGAAAGUGUGGGUAUCAAACAGGAUUAGAUACCCUUGUAGUC